rnacentral:rRNA from 1 species
CGGGACGGGUGAGUAUGUCUGGGAAACUGCCCGAUGGAGGGGGAUAACUACUGGAAACGGUAGCUAAUACCGCAUAAUGUCUGCGGACCAAGCGGGGGACCUCCGGGCCUCGCGCCAUCAGAUGAACCCAUAUGGGAUUAGCUAGUAGGUGGGGUAACGGCUCACCUAGGCGACGAUCCCUAGCUGGUCUGAGAGGAUGACCAGCCACACUGGAACUGAGACACGGUCCAG